rfam:Schistosoma curassoni strain Dakar, Senegal genome assembly, scaffold: SCTD_scaffold0012459
AUUCAGAUGACGAGUUCCAAAUAGGACGAAACUCACGUUCUGAAU